rnacentral:misc_RNA from 1 species
GAUGAAGAACGCAGCGAAAUGCGAUAAGUAGUGUGAAUUGCAGAAUUCAGUGAAUCAUCGAAUCUUUGAACGCACCUUGCGCCCUUUGGACAUUCCGAAGGGCAUGCCUGUUUGAGUAUCAUGAACACCUCAACUCUCACGGCUUGUCCGUGAUGAGCUUGGACUUUGGGGGUCUUGCCGGCCUGUGGUCGGCUCCUCUCAAAUGGAUCAGCUUGCCAGUGUUUGGUGGCAUCACAGGUGUGAUAACUAUCUGCGCUUGUGGUUUUCCAUCAGAUAACCUUCAGUGAUAUGGAGGUUCGCUGGAGCUCACAAAUGUCUCUCCUUAGUGAGGACAGCUCUUUGAACGUUUGAUCUCAAAUCAGGUAGGACUACCCGCUGAACUUAAGCAUAUAAAAGCGGAGGA